CGGCGAGUGAAGCGGCAACAGCUCAAAUUUGAAACCUGGCGCAAGCCCGGAUUGUAAUUUGUAGAGGAUGCUUCUGGGCAGCGGCCGUUCUAAGUUCCUUGGAACAGGACGUCAUAGAGGGUGAGAAUCCCGUAUGUGACCGGCGCGCACCCUUCACGUAGCUCCUUCGACGAGUCGAGUUGUUUGGGAAUGCAGCUCUAAAUGGGAGGUAAAUUUCUUCUAAAGCUAAAUAUUGGCCAGAGACCGAUAGCGCACAAGUAGAGUGAUCGAAAGAUGAAAAGCACUUUGGAAAGAGAGUUAAAAAGCACGUGAAAUUGUUGAAAGGGAAGCGCUUCCAACCAGACUCCGCGGCGGUGUUCCGCCGGUCUUCUGACCGGUCUACUCGCCGCCGUGGGGCCAACAUCGUCUGGGGCCGCUGGAUAAGACCGGAGGAAUGUAGCUCAUUGAGUGUUAUAGCCUCCGGUGAUGCGGCGCGUCCCGGGCGAGGUCCGCGCUUCGGCAAGGAUGUUGGCGUAAUGGUUGGCAGCGGCCCGUCUUGAAACACGGACCAAGGAGUCUAACAUCUAUGCGAGUGUUCGGGUGUCAAACCCCUACGCGUAAUGAAAGUGAACGGAGGUGGGAACCGCAAGGUGCACCAUCGACCGAUCCUGAUGUCCUCGGAUGGAUUUGAGUAAGAGCAUAGCUGUUGGGACCCGAAAGAUGGUGAACUAUGCCUGAAUAGGGUGAAGCCAGAGGAAACUCUGGUGGAGGCUCGCAGCGGUUCUG
rnacentral:rRNA from 1 species